GACGAACGCUGGCGGCGUGCCUAAUACAUGCAAGUCGAACGCACUCUCGUUUAGAUUGAAGGAGUUUGCUCCUGAUUGAUAAACAUUUGAGUGAGUGGCGGACGGGUGAGUAACACGUGGGUAACCUGCCCUAAAGUGGGGGAUAACAUUUGGAAACAGAUGCUAAUACCGCAUAAAACCUAACACCGCAUGGUGUAGGGUUGAAAGAUGGUUUCGGCUAUCACUUUAGGAUGGACCCGCGGUGCAUUAGUUAGUUGGUGAGGUAAAGGCUCACCAAGACCGUGAUGCAUAGCCGACCUGAGAGGGUAAUCGGCCACACUGGGACUGAGACACGGCCCAGACUCCUACGGGAGGCAGCAGUAGGGAAUCUUCCACAAUGGACGAAAGUCUGAUGGAGCAACGCCGCGUGAGUGAAGAAGGUUUUCGGAUCGUAAAACGCUGUUGUUGGAGAAGAAUGUAUCUGAUAGUAACUGAUCAGGUAGUGACGGUAUCCAACCAGAAAGCCACGGCUAACUACGU
rnacentral:rRNA from 1 species